AGCAAGUAGUGUUCUUUCAGUGGAGCAACACGUCUCCUCAGUAGCUGUAGAAAGUGCAAGUGGAACUUCUCCUGUGACCAUCUAUCUGGUGGCUUCCACUGCGUAGCCUCUCCUAGCUUCUGAGCACCUUGCACAGCCCCUGCACAGACUGACGACAAGAUUCAGAGAUGGGCUUCUGAGAUGUAAUGCACUGCCUACUUUGUGGAUGUAGCUGGCACGGAAGGGAAAAGGGGCGGGGGUGGGGGACGACUCUGAUUCUGUGUCUUAAGAGGGCCCCAGUGAGUUUUGUCUUUAGCGUCAACCAAGCAUCAAAGAUUAAUUUGCUCUGCCAUGAGGAUCAUUAAUUUUGCAAACCAACAUGUAGGGGGACUUUGUAGAGCGUUAAUUUAGAACCCUUUUUCCUGGAACAGCAAACCUGAGAAAAGGAAAUUGGAAGCAAUUAAGAAAAGUGGAAUGUGCCGAGGAGCACGGAGUAACUUUGGGUCCAGUGGAAACAGUGUACUAGCCUGUCACACUCUACUCCGUCCCUACAAACAGGAGGAAAUUGGCUGAAGGAGGUUUGAGGAGGAAGUAGAGAAUCUCUGUCAAAUCACAGCAAGCAGACCUCUAGGACCAGCCCUUGCCAACACUCUUGUCCCCGUGCAUCUGAACGUUAUAGAGGCUGAUCACUGUCCCGAACUCAUCCUGAAGAUCAGAAAAAUGAUUUUGCUUCAAUGGCUGUCUUCAGUCACUUCUUCUCUAGGAGUUUUUGCCAGUGAAGUUUUCUGUCAGUGUCUGUUUUAUCAAACACUCCUGUACCGGUUAUACCAUGAAGCAGUACUUCUUAUUAUAAAUAAUAGCCCACCUUGAGACAUUCUGCCCUUCUUCUAAACUGUAAAAGUGGGACAUGCCAGAGUCCAUUGGAAAUGAUCUGACUUGAACAUGGAAACCCCUGCCCUUGCUUGCCAGCUCAUCUUUCUGAGAGAAUGUCAUUCCUGAAACACCACCUAUCCAUUCCCGCACCUGUUACAAAGCUUCAUUCCAGGGAAGGAGACAGUUAGGGUUGAAAAUGACAUUGCAUCUUUCUCUUCAGUGUUGUUGAUGGCCUGACUUUCCUCUUCCUUCUCUUCAGUGUUGUUGAUGGCCUGACUUUCCUCUUCCUUCAAGGUUAAUCUCAACUCUAAAGUCUAAAUGGAUCGUAAUUUCACUAUAUCCUAGCUGUAACUCAACCAAAAAAAAAUCAGAAUUAAAAAAAAUCCCAACAUUUAUCAGUUAGCUUUUAUUUUCCUCCCUCAAAUAUAAA
rnacentral:lncRNA from 1 species